GGUGGCUCAGUGGUAGAGUGCUUGCCUUGCAUGCAUGAGGCCUUGGGUUCGAUUCCUCAGCACUA
rnacentral:tRNA from 1 species